AUUGAUCACGUGAGUCCUGACAAUCUUCUUCUUUUUUUUAAGGGUCUAAGUCUGCUGGAUAAUGGGUCCGUCUGUGCACCAAACGGGACAGUCGAUCUCUUACCCAGUUUGUUCUGGAGGGCCUCCAGGAUGCUGUCGGAGUCGCAAAGCAUGCAGGGAGUUGUAGUGCAGAUCUGGAUGUGGUACUUGCCCACCGGCUGCCUCAGGAACAUGGUGUUGAACGUCGCUACCUCAUAGAUCCUCAUCGGAGGGACCUCAAGCACCUCGGCCACCUGGGAGAAGAGAGAGAGAGAGAGAGAGCGAGGGAAACAAUUCUGAAAAAUGAAGGCUCGUGGACAGGAGGAGCGUUAAUCUAAUAAUGGAUGGAGUACUGAACACGCCCCAAGUCUACACAGGUUCUGUCGAAUUCUAUUGUUCUACAAAUCGUUGUCAAACAGCAACAACAACAACAAAAUGAACAUACUCUAUUCUAAAAACAGACCGAUGCUUCAGGAUAUUGAUUGAUCGAUUGAUGAAUGCCCUUGUUCAUGGCUGAGCUGGGGAGCCAUCCAUGCUGUCUCUGAGCCAGGUCCAACACAGGGAUGGUGGCGGCCUGUUUGUGGCCCUCUGAGGCUAUAUGAUGUCCACAAGAACAGAGAAUGUGACCUUUUUUUUAAAAUAAAAGCUUCCUGUUCAAAACGA